GCUGGCGGCGUGCCUAAUACAUGCAAGUCGAGCGAACAGAUAAGGAGCUUGCUCCUUUGACGUUAGCGGCGGACGGGUGAGUAACACGUGGGUAACCUACCUAUAAGACUGGAAUAACUCCGGGAAACCGGGGCUAAUGCCGGAUAACAUUUAGAACCGCAUGGUUCUAAAGUGAAAGAUGGUUUUGCUAUCACUUAUAGAUGGACCCGCGCCGUAUUAGCUAGUUGGUAAGGUAAUNGCUUACCAAGGCAACGAUACGUAGCCGACCUGAGAGGGUGAUCGGCCACACUGGAACUGAGACACGGUCCAGACUCCUACGGGAGGCAGCAGUAGGGAAUCUUCCGCAAUGGGCGAAAGCCUGACGGAGCAACGCCGCGUGAGUGAUGAAGGGUUUCGGCUCGUAAAACUCUGUUAUUAGGGAAGAACAAACGUGUAAGUAACUGUGCACNUCUUG
rnacentral:rRNA from 1 species